rnacentral:rRNA from 1 species
UACGGAGGGGGCUAGCGUUGUUCGGAAUUACUGGGCGUAAAGCGCACGUAGGCGGCUUUGUAAGUUAGAGGUGAAAGCCCAGGGCUCAACCCUGGAAUUGCCUUUAAGACUGCAUCGCUAGAAUUGUGGAGAGGUAAGUGGAAUUCCGAGUGUAGAGGUGAAAUUCGUAGAUAUUCGGAAGAACACCAGUGGCGAAGGCGGCUCACUGGCCCGAUACUGACGCUGAGGCACGAAAGCGUGGGGAGCAAACAGG